UUUAUGCCAAUCAAUCAGUCUAUUAAAGUCUAUUAAAGGAAACACAAGUAUUCACAUCUAUACUGACUGCAGAGACUUGGAGUGAGCACACCUCCAUUCAAUUCUCUGGGCAGAAACCCAUUUCCUCCUGCAGGCAAGAGUGAAAAUGGGACUGUCGUUGGAUAAGAAUUUCUGCAGGUUUAAGAUUCCAGCUUCAGACUGCGCUCUUUGGUCUUUUUUCCUUUGGCAGCUUCACACUCAAAAUGCUGAUGCAGUUUGUUUGCGUUUGCGAGAGAUGGUGGUGAGAUCUGAGAGUGCUGACCUUAGGAGUCUUCUGGGCUUUCAGUGCGUUACGUGCUCUGUGGUGUGUUUGUAGUUCAUUGGCGAUUUUAAAGCUUCAUUAUGGUGUCAGAACUAGCGCUGAAAAGUCAAAUAUAGAGAGGUGAGGUUUUGUUUUAUAAUGCCAGGCUGAACAAAGCGAUGGAGUUGGUGUGUUUAUGUGUUUGUUGCUGUUAGACAUAGACUGUAGUUUAUUAUAGGAUUAUGCUGCUGUAAAGGUCAAGCUUUGUGUCUUGUUCAGACGGGUUUAUGGGUAGAGUUUUUUUUUUAAGGGAUCGUUUUAUCCUUUUGGAGGUUCAUUUUGUGUUAGAUGUCAAAUGUGACACCUUUUUAAAAGGAUUUCAGGGGAUUAGUUUGUGGUAAUCUGCUUUAUUUGUCUUACAACCCAGAAUCGCCUGGUCUUUGUAGGUGCAGUUUGGUCCAAACACUUUAUACAUCACUGCUUAGCAUUUUAAAUAAUGCAUGCCUCUGCUUCGAAUAAAAAACACGCACUGGAGAAUCCAUGCUACGCUUAAUUCAGCUUUGUGUUUGCCAUCCCCCCUUGGAGAUGUAGAUCAAGAAAUAGAUGUUUAUUCCAACUGACCAUUGCACAGUAGUCGUGUCAUAUACCCAAGAUCAUAGAGGACAAUUAAUACAUGUUUUGCCGCAGUGAGACAGGUUGGCAGUGGUUGAAAGACUUUUCCAACAUUACUUGAGUGGAUUCAAACCCCUACGACUGGGGUUGUUGUGUAACAAGCUGGGCAAACAUGCUGCUGCAUUUUUAUAGUUUCCUUUAUUGACUUUUCCAGGUAUUACACAUGGCCCAAAGCUUUUCUCAGAGUUGCUGACCAUCAUGGCACAACCUUAGUCAGGAGCCUGAGGGCAGAACAUCAAUGGAAAUGCACUAUUAAUAAAGUAAUAUAGUCUAUGAAUGAUGGUGGUUUUUUUCCCCUGCAAUUCCAGCCAGCAUUGAGUAACAUUGUAGCAAAAAUUCAUUCUCCCAGUGUGCACAUGACCAAACUUAUACAACAUCAAUAAUAAGUGUGGGGUACAUUUUCUUUAACAUGGUGUAAAUGUUGCUUUGGACCUAUAACUCAGGCUUCACAUGUAUUGCGGCUGCGAGAACUGCUUUCAUCAACCUCGUAUCUCCCAGAUGUCAAACUCAAAAGACAACCCAAAACUGCCUACUGUUAAAAAAUGGUUUCCUGGGAGUAAAGUCACCCUACAAAUUGUAUAAAUCGCAAUAUAUUGUAUAGCAAUACUCAAUGUAUUACAAAAUGUUAAAUAUUGCAAUAAUAUUGUAUCAUGAGGCCACUAGUGAUUCCCAACCCUACUGAUUUAUGCCAACUUUUUAUCCUUUGCAAGUCACCUCUUUUACCACAUGAUUGUGCUGAAAGCCUCUGAAUAAAGGCAUCGAGUCAAAGCAAGAGUAGUGUCUCCACAGAAAGAACAGACUGGAAAUAUAUGGAGUAUAUGAUCCAGAGCACAUACUUAGUACUCUCUCAAUCUACUGAUAAAAGAAGGUUAUAAAAAAAUAUUCUCAUUGUUUCUGUGUGCACAGAGGACUUGAGCUGACACUCAACCCUAACCCUCAAAAAGGACCCUCAGAGAAACAUUUUGGGUGCUGUAGGAUUUUCUGGUCCUAAAAGAAACGUCAUUUUCUCUUAGGGUAAAAGCAAAGACUCAAGGAUCAAUGGAAAACAAUCCAAUAAGUAAAUCUUUAAUUAUAUUUUAUUGUAUUGUUUUAAGAGAUACAAAGGCUCAGUGUUUACCCCUCAGUGAAUUACUUCACUGCAACCACUGAGGAAAAAGAUGAUCUGUCCUCCAUUUGGAAAAAUUGAUUUAUACAGCUUCUUUGUGUUUAUGGAAACGAUGAUAGCAACCUUCCUGUCUGUGUCUCUUCUAAAAAGUACAUUACAGUUGAGUUAUAGUUCAAUAGUUAACAUACUAUUAAAAAUAUACAGGGAUAACAGCAUAUUCAAGACAUGGUUAAGAGAUUUAAAAAUAUCAAUAUAAAAAAACAGAAUCUUAUAAAUACCACUGAGGAACAGGAGAGAUAAAAUGGGAACACUUUUGUAUCAUUUCUGAUUCCUAAAACAGUUUUCAGAGUCUAAUUUGAGGGCAGAGUCAAACACUUUGUUUUGCUAUGUCCUGUAACUGAUAUGGAAAAUACUACUGCUGUGACAGAAAAAGAGCCCUCUAAUUUUUACUGAUUUGUGGGUUUGUAGAGAAUAUUUUUGGCUGAAGAUUGCAAUGAGUUAUGACAUUUUAGACACAAAAUAAGGUAGAGUGCUUUGAAAAUAUCAGUUUUAUAUGUGUCAGAAAAAAACUGUAUUCAAAACGGAACCAUCACAAAAAAAAAAAAGUUUGAUUUUCAACUUUGACCACAUGCUAGCCUAAAGUUUCAAAACUAGGCCCUCAUUAUUUAAAAACAGCAUCCCUUAAUCCUGUCUAACUUAUUCAAGCUUCAAAAUACAGUUUAUUAUAGCCACACAAUUACUGCUGGAGAUUGAGGAUAUGGUUGCAUUCACCUAAUCCAAUAUUAUUCUACUGUUCACUACACAUCAUUUGAAUUUUAUGUCAAAUAGGGUCAAUUACUGUUUAAAAUCCAAAGAAAUGUUUCUUCAAAAGGUUUUCAAUCCAACCACGUCAUUAAGGGUACAACAGUCUGAAGAUAGUAAUUAUUAUACAUUGCAGAGGCAGAUUUGACUGACCAAAUUUAAAGGCCGUAACUCGGCCUGCAUAUUCUGAAUACUGUUUGAUUUGCUGAUAUUGUCAUUCAGCUUCAUAUCCACACUGCUAUCAGCUGUUUCAAAGGUUUAAUGAAGCUGAAACAGAUCAAUGUGAAUCCCAGUCAAAUUUAAUUCUACUUACUCCUAAAGGGAUCAAUUUGAUAUGCAGAUUUACCUGGUCGACCACAGUGCACUGACUCACCACUUAGGAGCCCUUACUGUAAAAUGUUACAGCACUAUUUUUAUUUGUAAGUUAUUAGAUAGCAUAAAAUCCCAGAUAUGGCCCAAUAGCACCAAACUCUCCAUACAUGGUGUAUCUCCAUCACACUGCUGCACUUAAAGGUUGAUAUUAGGUUGAGAAUGACACCUUAAUUUUUCUAUUUAACUAAAAAUUGAUACAAAGAAGCAGAUUGAUCAACAAAUCAACCAACAAAGCAGAAGCUGCAGCCCACUUCUGUUUCAAAGAUUUUCGUCUAGUCAAUGACAUUUUCCUUUCUGUUUUUUUUCAUGGUAGUAAUCCCUAUCCAACUCUUCACCUAUGCUACUAUCUGCCAACUUCUUCCCAUUAGGGACAUAACCGCUCUAUUGUAAAUAUUGUACUGAAUUGAUUUGUUUUUGCUAUUUUGGGCUGAAUCAGGUGACUGCUAGAGGCAUUCAUAUAGUCCAUCUAUUACAUUUUUUAACCAAUAAUGUCUGACUUGUCGUGUUUCUGCCAACCAGUCAAUGAGCAAUCUGAGCACCAGGUUUUUUUCUCCCACUUACAGUGUGACAGCUAAUCAUUUAGCAUGCUCACAUUAUGCCACUAAUGAGGCCUGGGCGGGGGAAUUAGUUGAGUUUAACAAGGAGGAUGUUGGACUGCACAGUCCAUCCCAUCACAUUUUUCCUAUAAAUCCAUAGUCACUUAGCAGACAGCAGUUAAUAAUUUGCUUUAACCGGGGAAUCGAUGAAUGCAUGUUGACUUGCUGACAAAACUAGAUUCAGAGUUUUCCAUUAGUGACACUAUGUUUUUAAAACCAAUGACUUUUUGUUUGUUUGCUUGUCAAAGACUGAGUUUUCUCGGUGCUAGCUUUAGGAAUUGCAGAAGAGUGGUGAUAAAGCAAAAGCUUGCAUUCUCUGCCUGAAGAUUGAUCGCCUUCUUGUGUAGCUCUUGACUUUUUUUUUCCACAUAGAAAAGGAAAGAUAUUCACAUUAGGACACACAGAACAAACAGAAUGGAUUGUUAUCUAAUCAGAGUUGUUCACGAAGUAUCUGUCAUGGCCAUCUUUUUUUUUUUUUAUAAAUGGAGGUGGGUGAAGUGCCCUUCAUUAUUUGAAGUAUAAUCAGCCGCUGACUGGACUCAAUCUAAUCUGCAGAGGUAGAAAUUGAGUCUGCCUUAGUGGCCUUCAAAUGAGGAGAAAAAAAUAUCACACAAAUACUUACACACAAACACACAGAGAGUAAUGCCCGUAACAACCAAAGCACAAAUGUCAGAGCAGGAUUCUUCCAGCUGAAUGCAGCUUUUGGCCCAAGGCGGAAAAUAUGGAGCAGCAGUAGCUCACGGGUGUUAGUAAACGCUGCUUUGUGAUUAGAAUUGUUGGGAUAUAACUAUUUUGAACCAGGAAAGUGCGUUUUUAGCUGUUCAAAUUUUGGAGCUACAUGACUCAUAUUCCAAAUUAAUUUGGAUCCACACCCAGAACUGCUUUCAUCAUUUGCCCAGACUUACAUAAGUGCAGAUAGUAUUUUUUUCAAAGUGUUUUUAUGUUCAAAUAAAUGGAAAAACUGAAAAAAUAAAACCUAACCAACGUCUCAUUUCUUGUCAUUUUUCUUUUUUGUCUUCCAGACCCCGUGAUCAAGAUGGAAACUAUGCGACAAAGGUCAAGACGGACAGAUGAAGGAAAAAGAAAGAAGCAGGGUAUCAGUUAGCCAAAUCACAUCAAUUCACUCUUCAUCCUCACCGCUAUCACCAAACAUUUUCAUUAAAAUCCUCAUUUCUGUCAGCACAGAUAAGUUUACAGGAUAAGUCUACAUCAGAAGUCCAAACACUCUUAAAAGAAGAAACAUAGAGAAUGACUCUAUAUGCAUAUGAUCUUGGUUGCAGUCAUGCAGGAGCUUUUCAUAUCUCCAUUACCACCAUGGAGUGUUUAUAUGCACACAGCAUGGUUUAUAGCAGCUAUAAUCUCACUUGCUCUAUUUUUGAAGAUGCAUCUUCACAGGUGUCUGACAUAAAGCACAUCAACAUCACAUCAGAACGACACAGGUGCUCACAAUUUGCAUCUUCCUCGGUAUUCUUAUACUUCGGGCUCCCUGCUAGGAAUUAAAUUCAGGGUUUAAAAGGAUCACAAGUACCAUUUUAGUUUCGUUUCAUGUGUUUACAAGUGUGCACAUGUAAUUGCACUCUCCACUGUUCACUCGUGCCAUCAUUACCAUCACCAUCACGGCUGUAGCCUGUACCUGCAGAGAACAACCAGGAAGUGACAGAAGAGCCAGGAAACAUCAAACCUCUGACCAGUCCAAGAAGAAACAAACACAACCCCCCCCCCCCCCCAAAAAAAAAAAAGGAAAGAAGAAAAAAAAAAGAAAGAUGACUCACAAAUGCUUUGUCACCUUUACCCCUCUCUGUGUUCCCCUUACUUUUUCUUUGGGCUUUAUCUUUUGUAUGUGUACAUAAAGCAAUUUCAAAUCUUAUAGUUUUGUACAUGUAAUUUUUAUGGUGUGUGGAAUUUUUCUAAUAAAACAAAAUAAAAAUGGAAUUCUCUGUCUUAUUCAUGUCCAAUAUUGCACUUAACUCUCUGUGGAUUUAGGAUGAAGCUGAUAAUAAUCUGCUCUUGAUGGCCAAUAUGUACACAAACAGCUGUCUGUUUUAAAUGUGUUGCUUAUGCACACCUGAGGGUUAAUAAAAACUAGAUUUGAUCAGCAAUAACACAUACACUCACCGGCCACUUUAUUAGGUACACCAUGCUAGUAACGGGUUGGACCCCCUUUUGCCUUCAGAACUGCCUCAAUUCUUCGUGGCAUAGAUUCAACAAGGUGCUGGAAGCAUUCCUCAGAGAGCUUGGUCCAUAUUGACAUGAUGGCAUCACACAGUUGCCGCAGAUUUGUCGGCUGCACAUCCAUGAUGCGAAUCUCCCGUUCCACCACAUCCCAAAGAUGCUCUAUUGGAUUGAGAUCUGGUGACUGUGGAGGCCAUUUGAGUACAGUGAACUCAUUGUCAUGUUCAAGAAACCAGUCUGAGAUGAUUCCAGUUUUAUGACAUGGCGCAUUAUCCUGCUGAAAGUAGCCAUCAGAAGUUGGGUACAUUGUGGUCAUAAAGGCAUGGACAUGGUCAGCAACAAUACUCAGGUAGGCUGUGGCAUUGCAACGAUGCUCAAUUGGUACCAAGGGGCCCAAAGAGUGCCAAGAAAAUAUUCCCCACACCAUGACACCACCACCACCAGCCUGAACCGUUGAUACAAGGCAGGAUGGAUCCAUGCUUUCAUGUUGUUGACGCCAAAUUCUGACCCUACCAUCCGAAUGUCGCAGCAGAAAUCGAGACUCAUCAGACCAGGCAACGUUUUUCCAAUCUUCUAUUGUCCAAUUUCAAUGAGCUUGUGCAAAUUGUAGCCUCAGUUUCCUGUUCUUAGCUGAAAGGAGUGGCACCCGGCGUGGUCUUCUGCUGCUGUAGCCCAUCUGCCUCAAAGUUCGACGUACUGUGCGUUCAGAGAUGCUCUUCUGCCUACCUUGGUUGUAACGGGUGGUUAUUUGAGUCACUGUUGCCUUUCUAUCAGCUCGAACCAGUCUGGCCAUUCUCCUCUGACCUCUGGCAUCAACAAGGCAUUUCCGCCCACAGAACUGCCGCUCACUGGAUAUUUUUUCUUUUUCGGACCAUUCUCUGUAAACCCUAGAGAUGGUUGUGCGUGAAAAUCCCAGUAGAUCAGCAGUUUCUGAAAUACUCAGACCAGCCCUUCUGGCACCAACAACCAUGCCACGUUCAAAGUCACUCAAAUCACCUUUCUUCCCCAUACUGAUGCUCGGUUUGAACUGCAGGAGAUUGUCUUGACCAUGUCUACAUGCCUAAAUGCACUAAGUUGCCGCCAUGUGAUUGGCUGAUUAGAAAUUAAGUGUUAACGAGCAGUUGGACAGGUGUACCUAAUAAAGUGGCCGGUGAGUGUAUAUUAAUAUCCUAUUCUGAACAUUAAGACUGAAAUCACUCCAAAAUAAUAAGAGCAGGUGGUAACACUUUAUCUGACAUCUAUCUCUAUAACGCAUUACAAAUAUAUUUACAAUGCACUAUAAUCAUGUUAUAGCACUGUAUAACUAUAGUUAUAAACACUCAUAAAUGAUCAUAAUGCUUUAUAGCAAUAAUCACAACACAUUAUAAAGCAUUUUAUCAUGACUUACAAGGUCAGCUAUUAUAAUGUGUUAUAACUGUUAACAACAGUUGCAUUGCAUUAUCUAUGUGGGCAUUGUCAGUGAGUUGUUAACAGUUAUAACACAUUACAGUGUUCCCCCUACAUUCAUUCAUUCUUAAUGACGUGCGCCACUACUGAAAUUUCACAUGAUCAUUAAUAUCAAUGCGCCAUUAACGAUUUCUACUCACACUGUGCGAGCGCAACAACACACAACAUUAUUUUCGACUUGUUUUGAGUCAUGAUAAAAUGCUUUAUAAAGUAUUAUGAUCAUUUAUAACUGUUUAUAACUAUAUUUAUACAGUGCUAUGACAUGAUUAUAACGCAUUAUACAUAUAUUCAUAAUGCAUAAUAAAGAUAGGCAUCAAAAAAGUGUUACCGAAUUGUUUUUCUAAUUUUCUCUUUUUCUGGGAAACGGCCCACUCCUGUUCAUGCAAUAAUGUCAUUUUCAUGGUUACGUUUUUUUUAUCCAGCCACAGGGCUGACAAACUUCACACUCACUGGACUAACAACAGCAGUUUAUGCCUGGAGUAAGAAGAGAUCACCAUACAAGGCUGAUUUUGUAAAGUAGCACAGACAUUAUUACCCUGACAAAUCUGUUGCCUUUUCAGAACAAGGUGGGCAUGAGUUGCUCUUAUUUCAUCAUAAAUUACUUUGGCUUUGGGUUGAACUCUGCAGCUGUCAGAUCUACACAGCAGAAAAGUCGCAGUGCAUGUAUUGCAGACUGUAUUACCCUCCUCUGAAUUGUUAAAAAAAAAAUGGCUGCUUCUCAUUUUAUUAAUUUCUGCAUCCUUGGGUCCUGUCUCUUCUGCUGAUCCAGAAAUUGUUUCUGCUCUGUGAGGAGAAAAGAUCUUACAAUUCAUUAAAUAUGCCUAAAGGAGACCAGGGUUAAGAAGGAAAAUGUAAUACUUUGAUGCAGUAAUAUAUUGAUACACCUCAAAACUACAUAUGGGACAUUUUGGGUCGAGCAACAUGAGCUACAUGUCACCUGAAAGUUUAUUAGCCACAAUGAAAGUUCUAGUCUAGCAAAUUUUUAGACACCCAACUCAAGCAGUCAUCUUAAUGUUAGUGUGCGCUCCACUGGGACAUUUUUCAACACUUUAACAUCAGAAAUCUAUGUUCUUACACUUUUUGAGGACAUAACACAUAUAGUGCUCUUCCGUCUGCUGUGCACUGAUAAGCUAUUUGCUCUGCAGGCUUCAAAGAGACCAAAAUAUGACUAAACUAAAUAAUGAGUGAUUCUGCCAGUGCCGAUAACAAGCCGUUUGCUGGACACACGUGGAAACCUUUGAACAUGGGUUUACGCAGGGAAAAAGCAGCUCUGUGCACUGAGGGGAAAAGCGGAGAAACUUCUUUGCAAACUGGACAACAGGAGAGAUCCCAAUUCACCUUGGGUCCUACUGUGAAGACCCCAAGCUGAGAAAACUAAUUGCUGCCUUGAGCGAGACACAACAAUAACAGUACCUCUGGGUACACUCCAUACACACCAUACUAUGUCUCCUAGAUAACAGUAUGUAUUUAUAAUAUGUAAGCAAAAACUGAGAUUGAAAAAUAUCCAAAUUCACAAUAAAGAAGGGACUCCUACAUCAUAGACUCGGAGCGUCCCAAUACGAUAUUGAUAUCGGCAAAAAAAAAAAUUAAUGUGGGAUUAUAUCGGCCUGCAUCUAAAAUCUCUGAUAUUAGCACUCCGAUACAAGGAGUCCAUUCCAGACUCCACUCCAACACCUCUAUCGAGCAGUGCCCGGAUCCAGAAGGCAGAGCCCACGUGAUCACAACAACAGUGUGUACUAAGGUACUAUUAGCCCCUCUCUGGUGUUAGGGUCUAUUGAUUUGAAAUGUUUAAAAGAAUAAAAUAAAAAUAAUAAAAAUCAAAUUGACUAAAUUAUAAAAUGCUCUUAUUAAAAUUAUGGCACUUCUUGUGUUAGGGUCGCUGUUGACCCGGUUAGAUCAAUAUCUAAUAAUUAGAGAUAUAACUGAAAUCAUAAGUGCACUAUCAGGCACCA